AUUUUACUCCCUCCGUCCCAAAAUUCUUGUCUUAGAUUUGUCUAGAUACGGAAUCUAAGACAAGAAUUUUGGGAUGGAGGGAGUACAUU
rfam:Triticum aestivum genome assembly, contig: Triticum_aestivum_CS42_TGACv1_scaffold_289180_4AL